UACGUAGGGGGCUAGCGUUGUCCGGAAUCAUUGGGCGUAAAGCGCGUGUAGGCGGCCCGGUAAGUCCGCUGUGAAAGUCGGGGGCUCAACCCUCGAAUGCCGGUGGAUACUGUCGGGCUCGAGUGCGGAAGAGGCGAGUGGAAUUCCCGGUGUAGCGGUGAAAUGCGCAGAUAUCGGGAGGAACACCUAUGGCGAAGGCAGCUCGCUGGGACGUUACUGACGCUGAGACGCGAAAGCGUGGGGAGCAAACAGG
rnacentral:rRNA from 1 species